GUCCUGGGAUGACCUGUGGCGGAAGGUAAACCGAAGGUGACUGCGGUUAACGUCCUCGAUGGGAAUGGCCACCUUCAAGAAUUGAAAAAGAAGUUUAAGCACUGUUAUCAAUAUCGUCCAGCAUAACAGCUUUAUUCAACUGGAGCUAUCAGCUCAGUGCCCUGCCCUGGGUGGAAGGAACUGAGACAGUCACAGGCCUGUUCUCCAGCAGCCUGCCUUCUGAGCAGCACUGGGAGAAAAAUAUGCAACUGUGAAGUUCUCAUGGGAGAAGUCCUGAGCACACUGCAAGGCAUCCUGGGACCACAGUCUCAAGGGUCACAGAGGAAGGAACUUCAGGGCUGAGACCUGCAGGAAGCGAGGGAACUGAGGCCUGUCCUCACCCAGGGGAGGUGGAGCCCUCAGAUGCUGUGAUAUGAAAUUCCAGAUCAUGGGAGGGAGAGUUUGAAGGAAGGAUGAACCACCAAUAGAAAGCGGUCCCCAAAGAGAGCCACAGGCCCUGGCGCUGGCUGCAUCUCCCUACUCACCCGGUUGAUGGGGCCCCUUUCUCUAAUUCACACAAAAGCACCCUGAGCUAACAGCAGCUCCAGACCUGCAGAAUAGGCGGAGCAUAGAGGACUUUUAGGAUGGUGAAGCUACCCAGUGAGAGACUACAAUGGUAAAUAUAUAGUAUUAUUCAUUUGUCGAAACCCACAGAAGGCACAUCAUCAAGAAUGAACACUAAUGUAAACUACGGACUUCACAGGGCGACGAUGUGUCAAUGUGGUUCACCAACCGUAAUCAAUGUACCAAUCUAUGGGGGAUAUUGAUCAUGGGGAGGCAGGGGGAAGGAAAGAGAAA
rnacentral:antisense_RNA from 1 species